AUAUUUGAACGGUUGUAAACCGUAGAAUUGAUAUUCGUAUAUCAAUUAGAGUGGUUCGAAAUUUCGACCAUUAUUUGGUGUUAUUCUGGCCGAUACUACAGUGCAGUAGUUUAUCAGUAUUUAUUGAAAACAGCUGUUUUAUCCUGGGGACUUCGCGGUUGAUAUACUACAGUGCACUUCUUCGAGUAGUUCCGCGAAACGUCUUAAAGAAAGCGACCUAGUACGCGACUCA
rnacentral:lncRNA from 1 species